GGACGAACGCUGGCGGCGUGCUUAACACAUGCAAGUCGAGCGGUAAGGCCCUUUCGGGGGUACACGAGCGGCGAACGGGUGAGUAACACGUGGGUGACCUGCCCUCAGCCCUGGGAUAAGCCCUGGGAAACCGGGUCUAAUACUGGAUAUGACUCCAUGACGCAUGUUGUGGGGUGGAAAGCCUUGUGCGGCUGAGGAUGGGCCCGCGGCCUAUCAGCUUGUUGGUGGGGUGAUGGCCUACCAAGGCGACGACGGGUAGCCGGCCUGAGAGGGCGACCGGCCACACUGGGACUGAGACACGGCCCAGACUCCUACGGGAGGCAGCAGUGGGGAAUCUUGCGCAAUGGGCGAAAGCCUGACGCAGCGACGCCGCGUGAGGAUGACG
rnacentral:rRNA from 1 species